GUCUUCUUGUCUGUGACCUACUACUUCGACCACAACGCGGUGACUUGGAGGAACUUUCCCAAGUAUUUUCUUCACCAGUAUCAUGAGGAGAGGAAACAAGCUGAAAAACUCGUAAAGCUACGGAACGGCCCGGGCAAGGAAGCCCAGCGCCCGGCCUGGCCCGGCGGGAGGGCAGCAGAGCCGCUCACACUUGGAAAACGGUGUGAACCCGUCACUAUGGGAACUGCGCAGUCUGGCUGCCUCCAAAAACGACACUCACAGGAGUGCCCUCUUUGAGAUUCAUGACCUGAAUAGGCAGGUGAAAGCCAUGCAAGAAUUGG
rnacentral:lncRNA from 1 species